rnacentral:lncRNA from 1 species
UUCCAUAGUAAAAAUUAGUGUGAGAGGUAAAUAUUAAUGUAAUGUAAGUAAGUAUAGAGCCGUCAAGGGAUGAUACCUCUUAGUGGCAGGCAGAGACGAUACUUACCUGUUUGUGGAAGCCCUGUGGGUACUGCUCUAUAGCACUUCCAAUCUAAGGUGGCUCUGGCACUAAAUGGUCUCUGUGUUUUAGGAGGACUAUUUUUGAUACACCAGAUGAGGAUCCCAAUUACAACCCACUACCUGAAGAGCGGCCAGGAGGCUUCGCCUGGGGUGAGGGCCAGCGCCUUGGAGGGUAAAGCAGCUGUGCCAAUUACGAGACCCAUCUGAGAAAGACUCAGUGAAAUGUCCAUUGGGAUCUUUUAUCCCUUGUUGCAAAAGCGUCGACAGUUUUGACAGCUUGACAUAUUUUUAACUCCAGAAGCACUUUACGGGAUGGUACACUGACUAACACAGAAGACAUUUCCAGCAGUUUGCCAGGGGUUCCUCACUAUGCUGGUACUAAAAGUAUAACCUCUUGGAGCCAAAAACUGGAGAAACAGAUACCCUGCCUGGUGUCUCUAACAAGUACGUGGGUACUUGAGCUUGGUGGCAUAAGGCAAGGUUUUCCUCCUCCUCUUUGAUAGACAAGGCCGUGGUGUAAAUGGAAGUUACAGAGAGGACAAAAUAAAACUGAAUUCCAUCUCUCUCACACUGUAUUUAA